rnacentral:rRNA from 1 species
AGCGAACGCUGGCGGCAGGCCUAACACAUGCAAGUCGAACGGACUCUUCGGAGUUAGUGGCGGACGGGUGAGUAACACGUGGGAACGUGCCUUUAGGUUCGGAAUAGCUCCUGGAAACGGGUGGUAAUGCCGAAUGUGCCCUUCGGGGAAAGAUUUAUCGCCUUUAGAGCGGCCCGCGUCUGAUUAGCUAGUUGGUGAGG